GCGCUGGUGUAGCUCAGUGGUUACUUCGACCUAUUCUGUUUGAAUGAAAGUCUCUAUCCCUCCGUGGGAUCGAACCACGGGCGCUGUCCAGUGCUUUU
rnacentral:vault_RNA from 1 species